GGGAGGCAGCCAUAUCUCAGUCUGUUCUCACCCCCUCUGAGCUACGAGGAUGUGGACCAGAACCCUAAGUCCUGUCUUGGUCCUGUAACUGCCUCCAUGCCCUUUUGUCCCACAAGAGGCCUGAGAGUUUUCAGGGACCUUUGGAGGAGCCUGUUUGCAAGAUGAAAGUCUUCUGCUGUCUCUGAAAUGUUAGACACAGACUGCGACUCUUACAUGGAUAUGCUAUUGGGUCGUCUAGAGCAUGUGAUGCUGUGCACAGAUGUUAAUAUAGAUAUCUGGAAUCCACAGGUCUCUGGAAGCAAGAUUUUUUUGUCAACACAGUGUACUCAGGAGCAUUCAAUACCUUCAAAUGUCUGUACAACUACUACUACUGUGCAUUCACAAAUUGUUUUUUUGCCUUACAAGUUUGAAACUCUACCUGUAUUAAAUGCUAACUGCCUGUUCUCCUCCCAGCUGGCCUCAGCACCUUGUUACCUCUGUCUCUGAACUGGCUACUCUGUGUCACUCAGAUGCCUACAACAGGUGGAAUGGAGCUAGGCUGAAGGGAGGAACCUUGAACUAAAUCCAGCUCUCCACAUGGGUCCCGUGAGGCUUUGCAUGAGUUUGCUGUAGGAAUAUUGCUGAGUAGGACUAAAGUCUGGUUCCAUGUCACCAUCAAGGGUCCUGUGAAACUUUGCAUAUGUUUGCUGUAGGAAUAUUGCUGAGUUGGACUGAAAUAUGCUUCCACGACCUGAAAAGGAUGAGUAACAUCCAGCUGGGAUGGCUAGACCAAAGGCAAGAGUGUUGAACUUAAUCCAGGUCUCCAAAUGCAUAGGAACCCAAGGGCUGAUUUAUCACCUGCUGCCUGUCACAGUACACAUCAAGAGGAUGCUGCAAUUGGAAGUGGAGCCAGGACUUGAAUCCAGGCACUUGGUGAUGAGUCAUAUGAAAACAGAUGCUCUUCUAUGGGUCCUGGAUGUUGACACCCAAGUUAUAAAAGUCAUCCCCUGGCAGGAUCAGGGGCCAGAUUUAUUUAUUU